rnacentral:rRNA from 1 species
AUACGUAGGGCGCAAGCGUUGUCCGGAAUUAUUGGGCGUAAAGAGCUCGUAGGCGGCUUGUCGCGUCGGUUGUGAAAGCCCGGGGCUUAACCCCGGGUCUGCAGUCGAUACGGGCAGGCUAGAGUUCGGUAGGGGAGAUCGGAAUUCCUGGUGUAGCGGUGAAAUGCGCAGAUAUCAGGAGGACCACCGGUGGCGAAGGCGGAUCUCUGGGCCGAUACUGACGCUGAGGAGCGAAAGCGUGGGGAGCGAACAGGAUUAGAUACCCUGGUAGUCCACGCCGUAAACGGUGGGCACUAGGUGUGGGCAACAUUCCACGUUGUCCGUGCCGCAGCUAACGCAUUAAGUGCCCCGCCUGGGGAGUACGGCCGCAAGGCUAAAACUCAAAGGAAUUGACGGGGGACCGCACAAGCGGCGGAGCAUGUGGCUUAAUUCGACGCAACGCGAAGAACCUUACCAAGGCUUGACAUACACCGGAAAACCCUGGAGACAGGGUCCCCCUUGUGGUCGGUGUACAGGUGGUGCAUGGCUGUCGUCAGCUCGUGUCGUGAGAUGUUGGGUUAAGUCCCGCAACGAGCGCAACCCUUGUCCCGUGUUGCCAGCAAGCCCUUCGGGGUGUUGGGGACUCACGGGAGACCGCCGGGGUCAACUCGGAGGAAGGUGGGGACGACGUCAAGUCAUCAUGCCCCUUAUGUCUUGGGCUGCACACGUGCUACAAUGGCCGGUACAAUGAGCUGCGAUACCGUGAGGUGGAGCGAAUCUCAAAAAGCCGGUCUCAGUUCGGAUUGGGGUCUGCAACUCGACCCCAUGAAGUCGGAGUCGCUAGUAAUCGCAGAUCAGCAUUGCUGCGGUGAAUACGUUCCCGGGCCUUGUACACACCGCCCGUCACGUCACGAAAGUCGGUAACACCCGA